rnacentral:lncRNA from 1 species
ACCGGUCCAGCAUCACUAGAGACAUCAACACCACCAACAAAAUUCAGAUCCAUAUAAUCCACCAACAAAAUUUAGAUCAUCACCAACAAAUUCACCACAAAUACAUACAAAUCCACCCAAUCUAUCAAUACUACAAAAAUCUACCCGAUCUACUUGAAAAUUAAUAACAAAAUUAAAGAAAGAAAUCGGAGAAGAUAACCACAAUAGAAGAAGGCAUCAUCGAGACACCACCAUUAGAGACCUCGCGAAUCUGAAAGCCUCCGCUUUGAGAGACCUCGCGAGUUUUUCUCCCAGUCUACUAGAGAACCACUAGCUUUCCGUAGCUUAUCCGCUGCCGGAAUCCCUGAAUCGCCGGAAUCAUUCACGAGGUAAGGUUGGUGAUUAGGGUUUAAGCGUCGGCGUGAGUGGAGGAGAGGAAAUCGACGGCCAGACGGAUCCAAUACAAGCUGAUAGAAGGCGAGGAUGAGCCGGAAAAGGUGAGAGUUUUGAGACGUCGGAGAAUUGUUUCUUCAAAGGAUCGAGAAACACCCAUGGCUGCUGCUUUUCUUCAAAGGAUCGAGAAAACCCAUGGAUGCUGCUGCUAUUCGAUUAAAACAGUAUAUAUUAAUAUUUAGUAAAAUAAUUUUAGUAUGUAAAAAGUAUAUAAUACUAAUAUUUAGUAAAAUAAUUUUAGUAUUUUAGUAUUUUUUAAUUAAUAAAAUAAUUUGAAUUUUAGUAUUUUUUUUAUUUUGAUUUUUUUAGCAUUUUAGUAUUUUUAAUUAGUAUUUUAAUAUUUUUUUAAUUAGUAUUUUAGUAUUUUUUAAUUAGUAUUUUAAUAUUUUUUAAUUAGUAUUUAGUAUUUUUUAAUUAGUAUUUUAAUAUUUUUUACUUAGUAUUUAGUAUAUUUUAAUUAGUAUUUUAAUAUUUUUUAAUUAGCAUUUAAAUAUUUUUUUAAUUAGUAUUUAGUAUUUUUCCAUGUGACAGCCACGUAUGCAAUUUGGAUGGAUGUUAGUCUAUGUGACAUGUCUGUCAACGGCAGGGACACAAAUGACCCAAAAACAUAACGUUGAGGGUAUUUUUGGACAAAACAAAAGUAUAGGAUACUCGGUAGACAUUGAAAAAAGUGUCAGGGACAUUUUUGGACCUUAUCCCCUUAAAGCUCAUAUUACAUAAAACUAAUUUUGGAAAAACUGUAGACCAGCGAGGCCGCGCCCCUUCGGAGCAGACUCUAUUCUUUUCAACUGCAGAACCCAGCACUCAAGCCAACUCUACUUACCUAGCCAUCCCAUAUGGCAUUAUAUAUACCCAGAAUAGUGAACACAUAUCUAGAAUUAGGAUUGUAUCACCAUUUAAAGUAUACAAAAUAGAAAUUUCAUAAUUUUUAGAUGAAUUCCUCUUUUAGGCAAUUUGAUAAAUGUCUUGUAGACAGAGUUUAAAAAGGUUAGUUUCAUAGAAGUUUGAGCAUCUUUCAACCCAGAUUUCUUAUAGAAAUCCGUUACAAACCAUCCUAAUAACCAUAUGCUACAUAAUUAGCCAUAAUUCAUGUUCAUAUACAUAGAACCCAAGUAUAAAAUUUCUUUAUUUUACUUAAGAGUCUAACCACUAAUCAUAAUCAAAGGUAGAUUAUUACCUUUUUAAACCAAAAUCCUUGCUUAAUCUUCUUCAAUCCUUCCAUUAGAACUUUCAAUUUCAGUUGCUAUCACAACUUUUGAAGUUUUGCAGAGUUU